AAGAAUUUUGGAAAAUCUAUCUUUUUCUUCUUGGUUGAGUUUUGACAUGCAUGAAAUUCCUUCUUUUUCUUUUUCUUUUUUUUUUCUUUUUUUGGGUGCUAAAUGAAAAAUGAGUUCUAGUGAAUGUUUUCUGGAUAUGCCACAAAAACUUGAGGAAAAAAUCCCAGUUACACACAGUUUGUUUAGCUCCAAACAAACCCCAAGACAAGCUGCAAACCGUGUUCUUCUUCAACCGGGUUGCUUGAUUACAGAUGCACCAACACCAAGUCCCUGAAGCUGGUUGAUACCUACCAUCUCCUCCUUGAUCAGGUUGGCUAAUUCAAGUUUGUUUAAACAUUUUAGAACUUAGGUUUAUCCAAAUUCUAUUAAAUUUAGAUCAGAAAAUGGCCAGUUUUCUUAUCUGUGAAAUUGCUGAAUAGAAUAAAACUUAUGAGAUCAAUUGAUUAAA